CUCCUAUUUCGCUUUUACUUCAUGAUUUUUCGAAUUCGCCGUGUUGCAAUCGUUUGUCCUGAUUUUCGUUUUCGUUGAUGAAGAUUCACGAAGAUUCAGAUUGGAAGUCAUUGAAGAAGAAGAUGAAGAUUCAAAUUGAUGAAGAUUCAAUUUUGACGAGUGGAAAUAAUACUGGGUUUUGAUGUAGAUCCAGAGUAGAAAUCAACAAGGCAACAUACAAGGAGAUAAAAAGCAAUAAAUUUGAAGAAUUAAAAGGAGGAAAGUUGCAGAAGUGUUGAAGAAGAAGAUAUUGGUUAGUGUUCUAGUGAGAAGAAGAGAAUACGGUCUAUGGGAUUUUGGAGAGAUGAAGAAAUAAGGGUAUAAUGGUAAUUUUCUUCUUCUAGAUUUGGAGAAGAAGAAAGAAGGAUUUGGAGAAAAUCAGAAGCACAAAAUUACGGUCUAAAGUUUUGAUUGAGUUUUGAUUUUUCUAAAAUUUGGAAUUAAAUCUAGAUUUUUUUAUUUGAUUUUAUGAAUAUGAUUGAAGGACGAAUGAAGAUGAAGAUGAUGGAAGAAGAAGAAAGUAAAUAAAUUAGACAUUGGUGAUACAUUAUAAAAUCUGAUAGACUUUUGUAAUCC
rnacentral:lncRNA from 1 species